GGGUUGCAUGAAAGGAGAGGAGCUUAGCACUCCCCUAGAUAAAGAUGAAGGAGGUCCUAGUGACCUUUACACCACAUAUACAGUUAAGGCAUUGCUACCUACUCUGUGGCAUCUAACAAUUUAAUAAU